rnacentral:tRNA from 1 species
CGUGGCCAAGUUGGUUAAGGCGCCAGGUUGUGGCCCUGGAGAUCGAGGGUUCAAAUCCCUUCG